rnacentral:rRNA from 1 species
UACGAGGGGGGCGAGCGUUGUUCGGAAUUAUUGGGCGUAAAGAGCGUGUAGGCGGUCUGGUAGGUCCGUUGUGAAAACUCGAGGCUCAACCUCGAGACUGCCUCCGAUACUGCGUAGCCUGAGUAUCCUAGAGGGUAGUGGAAUUGCCGGUGUAGCAGUGAAAUGCGUAGAGAUCGGCAGGAACACCAGUGGCGAAGGCGACUACCUGGGGGAAAACUGACGCUGAGGCGCGAAAGCUGGGGGAGCAAACGGG